CCAAAGCUUGGCCAGCGUGUCCUGCAUGGAGGUCCCUCCCCGGUGCUCCAGGCCCUGGUUUUCUCUCCAGUUCACUCUGGGAUCCACAGCAAGCAGUGAGCUCUCUGGAAUAACACCUACAAGAAUUGUGUCUUGGCUGCUUUCCCCAGAGGUCCUCUUUCCCACCUCCUCCCUGAAAACGAAGAACUCCCCCAUGCUGCCAACAACUAGAUGUAAACAGAAAUUAAUCCAUCUGUGCCAAACCUCAACAUGUCACCUGAUCCUUAUCACUGCCUCAUAAUCGCCUCCAAGGAAGAUCUUAUUAUAUUAAAAAGCAAUUGCCCUCUAUGCUGGUAACACUAAUAGAUUUUUGUGUGAUAUUUAUACAGGAUUUCGUUGUCAGCUCACGAGAUGCUGUUCCCUUCCUUCUGCCUCUUUCCUGCUCCCUUCGUCUUUGCCCAAGUCUCCUAUGAUUUCAGUUUCCUGCAGGUCGCUGUCUGCAAGGUGAUCGGCUCCAUGAGGGCAAUGCACCUGACUUCUUGACUGUUGUAUCGUCAGCAUGGGAAGCAUGCUUGGAGCAUAGUAGGCAUACCAUUUCAUCUAGCAACUUCAUUCAUUCAUUCAACAGAUGGAGCUGAGGUCUGGAGGGGGAGAUAUGCCAAAAACCAAACAAAUAAAUAAAAUAAUAAACAGUUAUCAGGGCUUUGAAAUAAAUAAGUAGGGUUUUGAAAUAGAGGAUAAUCAAGUUUUGGGGGUCUACUCAGAAUGGAAGGCUGGAAUGUUUGCUCUGAGACCUAAAGAAUGUGAGGAGCUGAGGUGAGGGGAAGAGUGUUCUAAGUCGAGGACACAGUCCUACCUGGGGGUUGUGAAGUGGAGAACAAACUCGGCACCUUUGAGGGCCUGAGAAAGGCUCCCUGUGGACAGACCUUCAUGAAGGGAGGCAGAGGGCAUUGGUCAAGUUUGGAGGGGCAGGCAGGAGCUAAGCCAUUUCAGAAAUGUCUGGGGUGGUCAGAGCAUUCAGGGAUGUGAACAUGUGAUUGGACGUAGAAUUUGGGAUCCUUCACAUUCCAAGCAUAAAUAUCGAUGUGAAUGAGAGACCAAGCUCCUGGGAAGUCUGUGGUGUGGAAAUGCAAGGUGAAGUUGGUGAAGAGUGGAAUUUGAACUGGGGAUGCCAGAAUUUCUGGGCCUUUUCUUCUCCCUCACACGGACUGACACUCAUUUCUUCAUGUCCUUUGUUCCUCAAUGUUUACUGAGAUGAUAUCAACAUAUACAGGGAAUUUGGACUCAGAAGGCUCGUGCUCAGAUGGUGGCAGAAGUUGAAAUCAGGGCCUAGCUGAAGCCUUGUGAUAAGUUGAAAAGACCCAGGUUUCCAAAAACAGCCACAAUCGUAACAAUGGCAAUGACAGCCCAUUCUUACCUUCUGGGCUCUUUGGUGUCAGUAAAUUCAAAGCAGUUUCAACUGAAAAUAGAUUUGAUGGUGAGAGCCAAGCCCGUAACAUACCCUUCAUCAGCUAUGGUCUUGUCAAUUACGCAUCAGAAGUGGCUGCUGAUGAGGGAUUCCAGGGUGAAGCCCGAACAGGUGGCGAGGUGCCAGAGCCCAAUCUGAUUGGUGGAAGAUACCCGUUCAGAGUCUGGGGAAAUGUAACCUGCACAGAGAAUCACCCAGCUCCAAGAGAACUUGGGCUUUCAUCUGCAGUGAGGGAAGAGAUGGGAGAGUUGUUUGGACACAUGGAGCAACUCAUUAAUUAGAAGUUAAAUGUCCCCCUUUCUCUGCCAGCUCUGAAUACAUUAAAGUGAAAACAUGAGAUCAAGCACAUUCUUUUCGUUCUCUAUUUCUAAACAUUCCUUGCAUUGAAACCCUCAUGUUUCUUUAUUCCAUGACAGCCGGAUCAUGUCAUGGGCAAACGUAAUCGGGAUGAUGGCCAAAGCACCAGAACUUUUUCUAAAAGAUGCUACUGAGGACUGGGGCUUGCUGUACAGGCUGGUAUCUCCUGGGGCUCACGUCUGAGGUUUGGGCUUCCAGUGGAGUUUCCACCUAGAAUGGAUGCUAGCCUGCUGUGGGGAAUGGACAGAUGGGUGGGUGCACCGUCAGAAGGGGAACUAGCUGGAGUCGAGGCAGGUUUGUGGCACCUUCCACACCUCCUGAUGGAGAUGAGUAAAAGCAUAAACGAUAGCAGUCUUCCCCACCAGCGCCUUGGGGAGGGGAGUGAUUGCAUGUCUGUUUUUGGCCAGAGUGCUUGGAGACAGGCAGCCUAGACAGACGAAACCUUUAUUAUCAAAAGGCAGCACUUGGUAACCCUCCUUCCUCUAUGACACCAGCCUCUCUGGUUGUCAGCUCAUAAAUGUGUCUCCCAGUUACAGAGCACAUGACGUAAUCCUGUCAGAUCUCCUCACUGCCCGUUGGGACAGAGUUGGCAGUUCUAACGGUUAUCCCUGUGGAGGGGGGAAGGCUAGGCUUGGGUCUGUCUCAGCUGUGCGAGUGACAAGGCAGCUUCACAUCUCUGUGCUUCCUUCUCCUCAUGGGCGAAGUCAGGAAAAGUGUCUCUCCUUCCUGUUCCUUCUGAAGCCAUCGUGGUUAUCCCAGGCAACUACAGUCAGCUUCUCUCAACCCAAGGGACUCAAUUCCAAAGAGGGAGCAGGGAGAGCCAGGUGCAGUGGCUCAUGCUUGUAAUCCCAGCACUUUGGGAGUUUGAGGCUGGUGGAUCACUUGAGGUCAGGAGUUCGAGACCAGCCUGGCCAGCAUGGCGAAACCCCAUCUCUACUAAAAAUAGAAAAAAAUUAGCCAGAUGUGGUGGCACGUGCCUGUAGUCCCAGCUACUCAUGAGGCUGAGGCAGAAGAAUCACUUGAACCCGGGUGGUAGAGUUUGCAGUGAGCCAAGAUUGCACCACUGCACUCCAGCCUGGGUGACAGAGUGAGACUCUCUCUCAAAAAUAAAUAAAUAAAUAAAUAAAUAAAUAAA
rnacentral:lncRNA from 1 species